rnacentral:rRNA from 1 species
AUUGAACGCUGGCGGAAUGCUUUACACAUGCAAGUCGAACGGUAGAGGGGGCAACCCUGGUGGCGAGUGGCGAACGGGUGAGUAAUAUAUCGGAACGUGCCCAGUCGUGGGGAUAACGUAGCGAAAGCUACGCUAAUACCGCAUACGAUCUAUGGAUGAAGCGGGGAUCGCAAGACCUCGCGCGAUUGGAGCGGCCGAUAUCAGAUUAGGUAGUUGGUGAGGUAAAGGCUCACCAAGCCGACGAUCUGUAGCCUGGUCUGAGAGGACGACCAGCCACACUGGGACUGAGACACGGCCCA